rnacentral:lncRNA from 1 species
UAAGAGGCAGGCAGUGUCCUAACAGGAGGUAUAGCACGCACAACAGCAGCUACUCAGUGAGGCUCAGAUCCUUCACCUGUGAAAGGAGCUAUAGCGUCCAUUCAACUUUAGCUCCACGUGGCCAUCUGCCCGGCUGCUCUGCGGCCUUUGGUCUCUGCGUUUGCAGUUUCUUGUCUUACUAAUUCUAGGUCUCUAGUGUAGAAGUUAAGAACUCUUAACUUUCCUUGGCUGCCAAGGCGCAGGCAGGCGACUUGGACUCUACCAGUCAGACACAUCACCUUGAGACUCCAGUAAUGGCAGCAGCCACAAGCUUGCCACCAGACCCGACUCUCCUGACGAACCCGUGGAACACCUGUAACCUUCAAUAACCCGUUUUUCUCUCCAUUAUAAUGAGAAGGGGCCUAUUGAUUGAUUCCAAAGAUAAGGUGACUAACGUCAGGGAUUUGAAACGGGGGUCACUUAUUUGUGUAACCUUAGGAAGGGAUUAAAGCGGUGACGUCAUUCUCCUGGUCCGUUUCGGCUUUCACUGCACAGUGAAAAGUCCUGGUUUCCUUAGCUCUGCACAGAAGAGAACUGACCCAGAGGAAACAGUUCCAACUUUUUCAACAACCCAGAGGAUGAAUGUAGAAGAAAUUGGUCUGGGAAUGAGUGAAGAACAACUGGAAGAAAAAGAAGAAAGGCUGAUCUGGCGCACGGAGAGAAAGGGUGAUGGCUUCGCAGUUCCCCGGUAAGAGCCUGAGCGAUCUGAAAGUCACCCACACGCACUGCACAGUUUACUUUCUUCCUUUGCUUUGAAUCACAAACCAGUUCUGCCACUGGGACCCUUGACAUCUCAGAAGGACAUGUUGCACUUUAACAAAGAAAAUCACUGUUAGCAACUUUCUCCAGAUUUUUGACAUGAACACUGGAGAAAACUCAGAACUCAUGUUGAAGCCAGACUUACUCUCCACAGAAGAGAAGACCCUGUGGGAUUCAGGUCAUGGUCCCCAGAGACCUACUGCAAGAAGAUGGUAAAUAGGUCUGCCCCCUGCAGGAAGCCGACUUUUAGCAGAAAGCUGCUGUCAUCUCUGAAGCCAUCUCGGGCUAUUUUCUUAUAGGUGGAACUUUUCCACCCUGACGAGAGACUUGUUUUCCUAGCAUGAUGGUUUUGUUGUUGUUGUUGUUUGUUUUUGUUUUUUGUUUUUUGUUUGUUUUUUAGAACAUGCCUAAAUUUAUUAUUUAAUACAAAAAAAACCAAACAAACCACAAAACAGCAACAGUUUCCAUCAUUAUUUCCCUAACAACUUUCUGGGACACCAUUAUUGCCUGGACUGACACUAUAGGUCUAGUAAUCCACCAACAGGCAAAUCUCAGCCCACCACAGCUGAACACACUCUGAUAUCUUGUUUUUCUCCUAUACAUCCCGGAGCUGUGGUUAAGUGUCUCCAGCUGCACUCCCCAGCAAGUACCCACAGGUGCCUUUUACUCGAGACUUGAGACAUGAGACUUAAGCAGAUAGACUGUGUUGUCUCCAUUCUUCUUUGUGUCUCUUGCCCCUACAUCCCCACUCUCUCUUUUGCAGACCCUGUUGACUGACCCAUGGGCCAAGUCAGAAGGGUGUUUCAGAUAUAUAGCAAUUAAGGCAAGUUAACCCAGCAGAGCAAUAAAUAACAAACAGAACUUAAUCCCACCAAAUUCCAUCAGAUCCUUUAAUUUAUUUUUUUAAUUAGGUAUUUUCUUCAUUUACAUUUCAAAUGCUAUCCCAAAAGUCCUCCAGACCCUUCCCCUCCCCUCCCCUCCUACCCCUCCCACUUCUUGGCCCUGGCGUUCCCCCGUACUGAGGCAUAUAAAGUUUGCAAGACCAAGGGGCCUCUCUUCCCAAUGAUGGCCGACUAGGCCAUCUUCUGAUACAUAUGCAGCUAGAGACAAGAGCUCCGGGGUACUGGUUAGUUCAUAUUGUUGUUCCACCUAUAGGGUUGCAGACCCCUUUAGCUCCUUGGGUACUUUCUCUAGCUCCUCCAUUGGGGACCCUGUGUUCCAUCCAAUAGCUGACUGUGAGCAUCUACUUCUGUGUUUGCCAGGCCUUAGCAUAGCCUCACAAGAGACAACUAUAUCAGGGUCCUUUCAGCAAAAUCUUGCUGGUGUAUGCAAUGGUGUCAUCUUUGGAGGCUGAUUAUGGGAUGGAUCCCCGGGUAUGGCAGUCUCUAGAUGGUCGAUCCUUUCGUCUCAGUUCCAAACUUUGUCCUGUAACUCCUUCCAUGGGUGUUUUGUUCCCAAUUCUAAGAGUGGGCAAAAUGUCCACACUGGUCUUCGUUCUUCUUGAGUUUCAUGUGUUUUGCAAAUUGUAUCUUGUAUCUUGGGUAUUCUAAGUUUCUGGGCUAAUAUCCACUUAUCAGUGAGUACAUAUCAUGUGAGUUCUUUUGUGAUUGGGUUACUUCGCUCAGGAUGAUGCCCUCCAGGUCCAUCCAUUUGCCUAAGAAUUUCAUAAAUUCAUUCUUUUUAAUAGCUGAGUAGUACUCCAUUGUGUAAUUUAAAAACAGCUUAAUUUCCAUUUGCAUGAAGUUAUGAAUCAACCAAUUAAAUUUUAUUUAUUCCCUAAAUGAUGAGCACAUUGGAUCUAGGUAUUCAAUAACAUAACACAGGUGAAUAUAAUUCAGGUAUUUAUCAAGCAUAUUUAGUCUAUAAGGCCAAGAACAAAAUCUUGGGGGAUAAAAUUUAACUAAUUGAAUUUCCCAUAGUAUGCAGAAACUUGAAAAUGUGAGUAUGGACAUUUAGAAAGUGGACUUCAGUACCAUGAGGGUGGGAGCCUUGCAAAGAAAGUACAAGCUUGGUAUCAUCUCUCUGGGGAUUCCCUGGAGCUGGAGGCAUAGGGAGCCAUGUGAUGUGGGUGCUGGGAACCUAACCAGGUCCUCUGCAAAAGCAGCAGUUGUUAACUCUGAAGCCAUCUCCCCUAUCCCAUAUAUAAAAAUGUAAUAGUUCAGGACACUAUAUUGCAAUAAAUGCCACAAAUAAGCUCUGAGAAGAAAGUCAGCUCCGUGAAGGCAGCCACUAAGCAGCCCCUUCAUUUCCUUAGCUCUCCAAGAGUACAGAUAACGCAGCACAUUAAUCAGAAUCAGCAAGCAUACUUUAAAGUAACCAAUUUUCUCUGAGAGCUGACCUAACAUAAACAUCUCAGCUAUCAUCGAGAGGUUCCGGAGCUGUUAUCGCCAGCAGCUAGUUUCAAUUUAACUAAAGUAUUGAGAUACAUUAUGCUUAUGCCGAUGUGCUCGGCUCUGCUGCAGAGGCUGAGGACAACCCUGUCCAAGCCUUCCCUUGAACUCUGUUAUCCUUAAACUGUCUGCCUCGGGGCUCCCCAACUCUCACAACCUCUCAUUGAGAGAGUGCAGUCACCAAAGGACCACUCAUCCCUUGGUGGGGGGCAAUGGUGGAUAACUGUUCUAAUGUUUUGGGAGGAGAGCCCCUCUUGAGAAAAUCUUUACCAAUUUUCAAUUUUCAUCAAUUAAAGUGCGUUCCUCAAGGUAGACACUUGUGUCAUUCAAAAAGAACUGUGAAGAGGAAGAACAACUGACUCAUAAGUAGCUCACGGGAAACCAGCAACAGCAAAUACACAGAACGGGCUCACUGUUUACUUGGCACUCCAAGUAGUUCCUCAUAUCCAUAACCAUCAUUUCAUUAUGCCCCAUCAAAGGAGCAGCAGAACUUGGCAAUUCAGCUACAUGGCUCUGGAUUUAGAGUCAAGGAUACAAAAAAGGAGAUGGUCCCCUCUCCCUCCCAGCAGCAAGAAAAGCCAGUCCAGCCUGGAAGUCCCGCCUACUUGUCCAAUGACUGGCUCCUUUAUUCAUAGGGGAUUGGUUCACAAGAAGUCACCUGAGGAAGACUCACUCCUUGUCCACAACCCUUCCAAGGAGAGCAGAAUUAGCAACAACAUACAAACAGCACCAGGCCCCUCCACAACAGUGGCCUUGUGGAAGCAUAUCACUGUGGGGGCAGACUGAGAUCUCCUAAGCUCAAGCUAAACCCAGUAUGGUAUAUAGUCUUCUUCUGCUGCCUUCAGAUAAAGCUGUAGAAUUCCCAGCUCGUUCUCCAGCACCAUGUCUGCCUGCAUGCCCCGUGCUUCCCAGUAUGAUGAUAAUGGACUGAACCUCUGAAAUUAAGUCAGCUCCAAUUAAAUGUUUGCUUUUA